ACAGAGGGUGCAAACGUUGUUCGGAAUUACUGGGCGUAAAGCGCGUGUAGGCUGCCUUGCAAGUCGGGUGUGAAAGCCCUGGGCUCAACCUAGGAAGUGCACUCGAAACUGCAAGGCUGGAGUCCUGGAGAGGAAGGCGGAAUUCUCGGUGUAGAGGUGAAAUUCGUAGAUAUCAAGCGGAACACCGGUGGCGAAGGCGGCCUUCUGGACAGUGACUGACGCUGAGAUGCGAAAGCGUGGGGAGCAAACAGGA
rnacentral:rRNA from 1 species